rnacentral:ncRNA from 1 species
AGGCCAGCCGCCCGGUGGUGUGGUACGUAGUGGUAAUAGUACGCGCCCCGCUCCGAAACAAAGAAAAAGGUGCGUGCCGCCCUCACGAGGGACUGCCAGUGAGAUACUGGAGGAAGGUGGGGAUGACGUCAAGUCCGCAUGGCCCUUAUGGGCUGGGCCACACACGUGCUACAAUGGCAAUGACAAUGGGAAGCAAGGCUGUAAGGCGGAGCGAAUCCGGAAAGAUU